rnacentral:rRNA from 1 species
UGGGGACUCAUGGGAGACUGCCGGGGUCAACUCGGAGGAAGGUGGGGAUGACGUCAAAUCAUCAUGCCCCUUAUGUCUAGGGCUGCAAACAUGCUACAAUGGCCGGUACAAAGGGCUGCUAAGCCGCGAGGUGGAGCGAAUCCCAAAAAGCCGGUCUCAGUUCGGAUUGGGGUCUGCAACUCGACCCCAUGAAGUCGGAGUCGCUAGUAAUCGCAGAUCAGCAACGCUGCGGUGAAUACGUUCCCGGGGCUUGUACACACCGCCCGUCAAGUCAUGAAAGUUGGUAACACCCGAAGCCGGUGGCCUAACCGUUGUGG